rnacentral:rRNA from 1 species
AUAUCAAUAAGCGGAGGAAAAGAAACCAACCGGGAUUGCCUCAGUAACGGCGAGUGAAGCGGCAUGAGCUCAAAUUUGAAAUCCGGCCCCCGCGGGGCCCGAGUUGUAAUUUGGAGAGGAUGCUUCGGGCGCGGCCGCGGCCUAAUUCGCUUGGAACAGCGGGUCAGAGAGGGUGAGAAUCCCGUCCGGGGCCGUGGGCCGCCGUCCAGGUGAAGCUCCUUCGACGAGUCGAGUUGUUUGGGAAUGCAGCUCUAAAUGGGUGGUAAAUUUCAUCUAAAGCUAAAUAUGGGCCAGAGACCGAUAGCGCACAAGUAGAGUGAUCGAAAGAUGAAAAGCACUUUGAAAAGAGAGUUAAACAGUAUGUGAAAUUGUUGAAAGGGAAGCGCUUGCGACCAGACUUGCGGGCGGCGGUUCCCCCGGGCCUCGUGCCCGGGCCACUCCGCCGUCCCCAGGCCAGCAUCGGUUCGGGGGACCGGUGAAAGGCCCCGGGAAUGUACCAACCUCCGGGUUGACUUAUAGCCCGGGGUGCAAUGCGGCCCCCCCGGACCGAGGCACGCGCUCCGGCUCGGAUGCUGGCGUAAUGGUUGCAAGCGGCCCGUCUUGAAACACGGACCAAGGAGUCUAACAUCUGUGCGAGUGUUUGGGUGGCAAACCCCGGCGCGUAAUGAAGGUGAACGGAGGUAAGAGCCCGCCCCGGGUGCAUUAUCGACCGAUCCUGAAGUCUUCGGAUGGAUUUGAGUAAGAGCACAGCUGUUGGGACCCGAAAGGUACGUCGCUCUGCUCAUUAUUUCUGUCCCCUUCCGCCCCUGAAAGAAUCCGUCAAGAUGAUCUACAGAAUUUCUGUAUAUCUGGUCAGCCUUUGACCAGAGGUGGAGAUACAACUCAGCAAAUACCUCUGACAAAGAUCGGUCGUUAUCUUCCUCACCGCAACCUAAACCAUUUCGCGGUUUGUGAUUGCGUCGAAUAUAGUUGUCAUUCUCCAUACAUCAACCGGACCGAAGCUGCUAUCGAGACACUGGAGAUCAAGGAUAGUGAUAGUGACGACUGAGGGUGGUAGAGCGGGAACGAUCAUCUUGACGGAUUGACUAACCUAUUUUUAAAAAUUAACCUGUAUUCAUCUAGAAACUCCUAUGCUAACUUUUAUCUCUCUACAAAGAUGGUGAACUAUGCCUGAAUAGGGUGAAGCCAGAGGAAACUCUGGUGGAGGCUCGCAGCGGUUCUGACGUGCAAAUCGAUCGUCAAAUUUGGGUAUAGGGGCGAAAGACUAAUCGAACCAUCCUCCGGGCAUCCUGUCACCCGUGGGUUGAUUCAUCUCCGGUGGAUCCUCGGGUGCUGCCAGGUGGUUAAUUCCCGGCCUCGCUGGCCGGGCCAGUCCGGUACCUUGGUAUCGGGCGGCGUCACCAGCCUUUCGGGGACGCCCAAGGGCCAUCCGAAGCCGUCCUGAUCCCGCGGGACGGUUCACAGACUAGACCGUGACGGCCGGACUCUCGUGACGGAGAGACGGUGAUUAUAUAGUCGAGCAUGGUUGUCGGGAUCUCUCCCGGUGGCUCUCCCCCCGAGCGCUUCGGAGCCUGGAUGUCGACGGUAUGUGUCUCAUCCGGGCCCGGAGGCUCCCGUUGGAGGUGGGUCACCGGGGAGCCGAUGGCUCUGGACGCUGGUAGCUGGUUCCUGUCGAAGUUUCCCUCAGGAUAGCAGUAACGUGUUCAGUUUUAUGAGGUAAAGCGAAUGAUUAGAGGCCUUGGGGUUGAAACAACCUUAACCUAUUCUCAAACUUUAAAUAUGUAAGAAGUCCCUGUUGCUCCGUUGAACGGGGACAUUUGAAUGCAGCGUUACUAGUGGGCCAUUUUUGGUAAGCAGAACUGGCGAUGCGGGAUGAACCGAACGCGAGGUUAAGGUGCCGGAAUGCACGCUCAUCAGACACCACAAAAGGUGUCAAUGUAUCCAGACAGCCGGACGGUGGCCAUGGAAGUCGGAAUCCGCCUAGGAGUGUGUAACAACUCACCGGCCGAAUGCAUUGGCCCUGAAAAUGGAUGGCGCUUAAGCGUGCUACCUAUACCUCGCCGUCGGGGUUGAAAUGAGGCCCCGACGAGUAGGCAGGCGUGGGGGUCGGUGACGAAGCCUCGGGGGUGACCCCGGGUCGAACGACCCCUAGUG